AGAAAAGAUAAUUGACGAUUGCUGCUUUCACCUAUCACUUCCCAGCAAAUGAUUUUUUGUUCAAUUCCUGCUAAUGUUUGUCAACAGUUUUCUCAUGGAUCUUUUUGUAUUCCUUUUUGAUCUUUCUUUGUUCUGGCAAAUUUACCUUCUAAAGAAACUGUGUUUCACUCUGCAGGCCAUGCCUGAGGGAUAUCUGCGACGGCCCAGGUGAGGGCCACCUCUAAGUUAGAAGUGCUGAACAGGAGCAAGCGCACACCCCCAGGACUGUGAAUUUCAACACCUCUUCUGAUGGCAGUGGAUAUGACUCAUGUCAGUGGAUAUGUCUAUCUGAAUCCAGAUGACCUGUGGAGAAAUGCUGCAGAAGAAGGGAAAUGGAUUGUUGCCUAACUGGAUUAAAGCAUCUCCUGCUUUAUGGACAGACUCUGAUAUGCAGUGAAACAUGGUCUGGAGGCAAUUUUGUUUCAUACCAAUGCAAAGCGCAACCUCAAUUGUUAAAAGGCACACACUUGUGCUGGACUUGGGAACAGUGGCUGUAGAGAUUAUUACCAGUCCAAUUACCAGCUCUGGUAGAAGCUACUGCCUGGGAUGAUCAAAUAUUAUCUUCAUUUGAAGACUGAGCUGGAUUAAAGACCAAAGGACUUUCAAACCUGCAAAGAAUUUUUAAUUCUGCCUGAAAUGUAGUUUCUCACUACAGCUUUGGCGACCUAUGAUGUUACCAGCUGACCUUAAGAGAUUCUUCUGCUCGUCUGGUCUCUUAUACAGAAAUCAAAUUUUAUCUGCUUCCAGACUGAGACUGUUCAUGAAGCAGAAAAACUAUACCAAAGCAAAACCUGACUAAACAAAACAAGUAUCAACUUCAAAAACAAUGAUUUCUUGGAGCAGCUACAAUGCCUGGAAGAGGGUCUCCAUGUAGUUUGGUAAGUGCCAUAGUUUAGGAAAGGGGCAGAGAGGAUCACAUGGUCAAAAAUGUGCCACUUAUCCCAUAACUUGUAUCCAUUUAAACUUUCAUGCAACUGGAUGUCAAGGAACAGCAGGUCUGGCUAUGGAACAGGGUUUGGGGCGGCAGGAGUUUGGGGUGGCAGCAAAACCAGUGGGACAGUGUCCUCACUCUGAUGGGACACAGCCCCACGGUGACCCAGCAGAAGAGUAGUGCACGUCUGGUGUCAGUACCAGGGUCACACACAGCCCAGACCACCAGGCAGAUGCAUGGGGCAGGUUCGAGGACAAGCUUGGGCACCGAGUAAGGUCAGAUCAAUGAGGUGUGUGGCCAGCACAAGCAUGCUCACAGGGAGCCUGGGCAAAUGGAGCUUAUAGAGCAUGCUGGUGCCCACACGGUAGGGCGCUGGAUGCGAGAAAUGAGGCCAUAAACUCGUGUUGUAACUACAAAGCUAUAUUAGUUGGCUGAGCUCUCUCUAUACCCUUCUCACUCUUGUUCACUGCAACCUCACUGUUCAAUUUCUGAUGAUUUCAGCCAUGCUCCUGGCCAAUAUGUCAGGUGCUCAAUCAGGCCCCUGAAGUCACGCAUGUUAAAAAAAUAACAAAACAACAGUAAAGAACCUCUCCAGACCUUUUAAUCAUCUGCAAACAGCUAUUCACAUAACAUAAGUAAAUAGUUGUUGGGAAGAGUGUUGAGAACACAGGAACUUCUUAAAUUACCUUCACUGACAAAGAAAACGUACAGUCUAGGCAAACCUUCAGGCACAAAAAAUGUCCACUGUGUACUUUAACCUCUUAAUAUUGGUAGUCCUUUUCCUGUUACACUACAUGUGUUUAAUUUGCCAAUGUGUAGCAUGUUGUUUUGUAUCAGCAGUGCUAGCAAAGAGCUUUAAAAUGCUUACAAGAAAACUAUGUCAAGGACGAAACGAAAGAAAGAAAGAAAAAAAAAGUAAGGAAUAGGUGGGCAUCUGUGUGAAAUUGCUUCCACUCUCUGCCUCUCAUGUUUUCAAGCUCAUGAAAUGUAUUCCAGUACUUCAGGUCAUUUUACUUAGGUCAGGUUCCAUAAUGUUACACAGUUAAUGCAGAAGACCAAUAACGACAUAGACUGAUGAUUGUCAGUGAGAUGUAACUUAGAAGGUACAUAUAACCAGAAGUACUUACCUAGGAAUGUGUUGAGGAGAUUUAUUUGACAUAUAGAUAUAUUAUAUAACUUGAAUGUGCUGCAUUGUCACCACUAACAGCAAAAACAGCAACAACUUUUACUGCCUGAAGUUUUGUCUGGCAUUGCACAGUAAUUAUCUGACCUGUCUCUCGGGUCACUGUAUGCUGUGGUUUUAUUGCAAGCUGUUUGAAACUACUGCAAUUAUUAAACAUAUUAUGGCUGCAUGGUGUUAUAGUUUUAUUAUUUUUUUUCGUAGCAAGAACUUACACACACACACACACACACACACACACACAAAAAUCCAAGUAUAUUUAUGGUCUCAAUUUCUAUGAAGCUAAUAAAAAACCUUAGGGUUACACUAUUUUAAUCCCAAAUAUCUACCAGUAGAUAGAGAGAAAGCUCUAGAUUUAACUGUGUUUUGUAGUUCUGCAAAGUUUUUCUUCUUUUCCUUAUCAAGGCUACAGAAUGCACACAGCAGUAGAUACGCUUGACGUUAUCUGUAGGAGGAUAAAAGCCCACACAGCAGCUACUCUGUACUGGACAAAUUUGAAGCUAUUGGGAACUGUUUCAGUCCUUUCAAAAUGUUACCACAUGCACAUCAGAGGCUGCGGUACUUUCUGGCCUAAUUUAAUCACUGCUAUGUGGAAGAUAAUCUUUCAGACUAUCACACAGCGUAGGAUUUGGGUCUGGCACCCUUCAGUUUUGAACUUCAGUUGUCCAAGACAGCAUCUCUUACAGAAACUAAAUCCAAAUAUAAAGCUGAUCAUCACAAUUCAAAACCCAAAAAUGUGCAGAAAUGAAAAAAAUAAAGCAAGAAUGUCAUUGCUUAAUAUUAAACCGUCUGUUGUUCAAGAUUUUGACAGUGGGACAGAGACUUUUUCCUUUUCUGAAGAUAAUAUAUCAGGGACAGUACUCUUAAAUAGUUUAAUGAGGUAUGUAUCUUAUGAUUUUCCGCGAUUCUCUCAUCUUUUCCCACUAAACAGAAAUCUGCAGUUACAGCAAAUAAAGCAUUCAGUGAAGAAAAAUAAAGCCGUAUUAGCUAGCAAGUGUUGAAUAAUACGUGUUCAAAUCCAAGUUAGAAAUGUAUGUUGUCUUUUAAUGUGUUUAAAGCUUUUAACUUGUGGAGUGAUAUAUAAAAAAACAAUAAAUAAGACUGCUGUCGUGGAAUGAGUGUAAUCACAGCCUUCAAAUGUGAUAUAUUUUUUAUGUAGAAAGCUGAAGUGUGACUAGAUUCAGAUGCCUGUGUGAUGGAUUGUUUAGAAAUGAAGUAGAUGUCUCUUCCAAGUAAUAAGCUCCACUCAGCUUCUUUUUAAGAUUCUUUGUUAAAAUAAACACAGAGGUUGUCCUCUACUCACCGCCAUGGUAGUUAAUUAGCUAACAGUCAUUCAAAAUGUUGUAGUUGUCAAUACAAUGCUUCUUGUGGAUGAAAACAACCUAAAGAAGGUUUAUAUUCUCCAAAGCUUUUUUCCCACAAUGUCAG
ensembl:lncRNA